rnacentral:antisense_RNA from 1 species
GAAAAGGUAAAUUGCAUUAGGUUUGAGUCCUUUAAUGGCAAAUGUUUCUGUUUUCACAUUCUCUGCUACGGUCUGCCAGCUGCUACCAGAUGCAUGGCUGAAGGCUUCUAUAAUAUAAGAUGUUGGAGUUGCACCUGAAUUCAAAUUUGGUUGCCAUGACAACGUUACUGUAUUUCUGCUGACAUCUGUAACUUCAGGUUUUGAGGGGGCACUAGGGAUUAAAUUUGGGUCGGUGGGUCGUGGAGGCUGAACUGGAACUCCAAAUUCUUGGACUUCAAUGUAAGCACUCCAUGUUGCUUCACCACUGGGGGUUGAUGCAAUGCAGGUGUACCGACCUGUGUCACCCAGCUUAGCGUAUCGGAUCUGCAGCACUCCCGUCUCCAGCUGUUUGAUUCUAGAAUCUUGGGUUGAAACAAGGACUCCAUCCUUUCUCCAGAGAAUCGUGGGCAUUGGACUGCCUGUGGCCACACAGCUGAGCACUAAAGUACCAUCCACUGCUACAGUCUGAUUCACAGGACCUUGUCGAAUGACUGGGGGAGGCCGGUCUGCAAUCACAUCAGUAACUUCCAAAUAUGCUUUUGUGAUGAUACUUCCGGCAACAUUUAAAGUCUGGCAGAUAUAAUAACCAACAUCAGACCGCUGGACAUUAGUAAUAGUGAGAUCACCAGUCUGGGAGACGGAAAAGCGGCUAGUUGACUGUGGCGGCUGAUAUGAGAAAAGCAGAUUCUGACUCCCCUCUCUUCUCCAAAAAAUAGCUGGUUGAGGAUUUCCGGUUGCUUCACACUGAAAUGUUACAGUUCGCCCCAAGGCAACAACCUGGUCACGAGGUUUCACAACAAAAUGUGGAGGUUCUUGGACAGUCAGAGUAGCUGAUGCUUCAGCUUUUCCAACCAUAUUUUCUGCAACACAAGUAUAUGACCCCAUGUCACCAGCCAUCACUUUCCGAAUCUUCAAAGUAUGAUCAUCUCUGAUUUCGUAUCUGGAUUUGGGCAGUUCUCCAUCGUCUUUCCUCCAUCGUACCGUAGGCACAGGGUCACCUCGAGCCUCACAUUUAAAUUCUGCACUGUCAUCCACAGUUACAGCCAAGUUACUAGGUCUCUUCACAAAUGAUGGUCUCUCCAAGACAGUUAGCUCUGCUACUUCACUCUCACGUUCCCCAACCAUGUUGGU